UCCGGCGUAGCUCAGUUGGUAGAGCAGCUGACUGUUAAUCAGCGGGUCACAGGUUCGAGUCCUGUCGCCGGAG
rnacentral:tRNA from 3 species